AUGCCACCUGCCAGGACAGCAACACAGGAGCUGCCUGUGCACUGUGGGCGCCCUGGCAAGCGCAAGGUUACAGCUUCAAGGUCAGGGCCGACCUCACAGUCUCAGCAAAGCCGGCUCUCUGGGGGCAGGACCCAGUGUGUCCCCAGCAUCAGCAGCCCUCGAGGCCGUGAACCUCUCCCGGGAACCGCCCAGAACAGACCGGGACGUGCAGAGCCGACCGGAGAGCCGCGGUGCCCUCACGCAGGACUCCGAGCCCUGGUGUCCCCCUCAGGAGGAGACGCUCCGUGCGCCACGGCACAGGAUGCCCUUGGGACAGGCGCCUCGGGGGCGUGCCCACUCACCUGCUGUGCAGCCUUGUCAGCCAGCAGCGCGAACUCCACGGACAGGCCUUUCAGCGCCUGUUUGAGGGACCCCCACGUGCUGCUGUUCAGCGAGGCCCAGGAGGGGAGCGGGGUCGUGUCAGACCCGAGAGCACUAAGGGAAGGGCGCCUGCCCCAGCGCCCUCCUUCACCAAAGCAGCACGCGGCGCCAGGGAGGCCUGGGGGCUCCCACCUCCCAGCACUUUCCUCGUCUGCAAUCAAGAUCCCUGUUCCACAGAAGCCAGUCCAGCCCCAGGGUUCAAAAGACCCACCCUCCCCACUCAGGGGCAGGAAAUCACAGCAAGCGUGCCCUGAACGUCUGGAAUGGGUCCCACAAAAGGGGCCGAUGGACAAGCACCCCAGAGAGAAGGCCGCAGGAUCUCUAGGCUCAAAGGCCCCUGUGGCCUCCGGGGAGUGUGUGCUAAGACGAGAGGUCAGGCGCAUGGGGAAUCCGCCUAUGGGGCUCGGGGCCCGCAGCCGUGCCGUCCACUCCAGCGUGGGAAGUCCUCCGCGGGGCCCCCUCUGCCCAUGCCUACGAGGAGAGGGUCCAUGGGGAACCGCCGGUGCCGGAGAAGGACUCGGACCUGGCACGCGGGGCCGCCACGGGAGCGCCUCCUCCACCGGGAGCAGGGCUGGAGCCCGGCUUCCUGCUCGACCAGANNNNNNNNNNNNNNNNNNNNNNNNNNNNNNNNNNNNNNNNNNNNNNNNNNNNNNNNNNNNNNNNNNNNNNNNNNNNNNNNNNNNNNNNNNNNNNNNNNNNNNNNACAGCACAGAGUCCCCCCUGGCCUUUCCUAAGUGCGCACACAUCCACGUCGGGGGCCGCUGGCCCACUGGCCAACCCCCAGCCACGGAGCCCCCUCCCGCGGAGCAGCUUCAAACCUCGGGGGCCUGCCGAGAAGCCACGGCUCCUCCCCAGCUGCCAACAGGCCCGACCCAACGCCUCCCACGCGACCAGGGAGACAGCCCUGCUCACGGCCACCCCGUGGAAACAGAACACGUUGGGGCCGAACCAGGGGAGCGAGCAGAGAGAACGAACCGAAACCACACAACAAAGAGAGCCGGGUGCCCCAGGUCCCCCCCAGCCCCCCCGGGUACUCACAGGGCCGCUGAAGGACAGGAAGAGCUUGAGGACCGCGUCCUCGGAGAAGGGCGGGUGCCGGGCCACCAGGUUGAUGAAGCGCUUCAGCGCCCGCCUCNNNNNNNNNNNNNNNNNNNNNNNNNNNNNNNNNNNNNNNNNNNNNNNNNNNNNNNNNNNNNNNNNNNNNNNNCCCCCCCCCACCCCCAACACCCACCACACCCCCCCCACCCACCCCCCACACACACACACCACACACACACACCACACACACAUACACACACACCACACACAUACACAUAUACACACACACAUGUGCUCUUAGUUCACCAAUGACUUAAUCCCCAGGAAAAACAACACGUCCCACCUGAACUGCGGACAGGCCAAGGACAAAAGACCAACGCGCCACCGGGCAGCCCGCGCACGGCCACCGGGGCCAGGAUUGCGGCACCCGCGCGCUCACCCGGCCUGGGUUUCCUGCCCACGUCACUUCUACUCUCUCACGAGCACAGACUCCCUCACGUGGGUUAAGUGAUUUCACUUUGAGGGAGGGAAAUAAGUAAAAGCGCACAGUGACGUCCUGAGGGUGUUUCAAUCUGACCACAAAUGAAAACGGUAUUUUUUUUUUAAUUAUAAUAUUUUGAGAAAGACCUCUGCUUUACACAGCAGCAUGAACUUUAUAUUACGUAUUGUGUGCAGGCGGGCUCAGCCACGUCUAGCUCUGUGACCCCGUGAACUGUAGCCGCCAGGCUCCUCCAUCCAUGCAACUUUCCAGGCAAGAACACUGGAGUGGGCUGCCAUUUCCUCCUCCACGAAAAUGGUAUUUAAAGUAUCACUUGGGGAAACUCGCUGGCGACCUAGUGGUUAAGACCCCGAGUUUCCACUUCGGGGCAUGGGUUCGAUUCCUGGUCAGAGCUAAGAUCCCACAUGCCACGCAGCAUGGCCGAAGUAUUAAAAUUCUAAAUCACUGGAGGAAACUUGAAUUAGGAUAGCCCCGCGAAGGCCACACGUUCACAAAGGCUUGGCACAGGAGCCAGCCUUCGAGGCCUCCACACGCCCACGACGCCCAGGCCACAGCGCAGCCCGGGGCCACCUCCUAGCAUCCUCUUGGGCGGCAGGGCAGGCACCAUGCGGUACGGGAACUUGUGCAGCAGCGCCUCGUGGAAGACCACGAAGUCGUUGUAGCGGCGGCGCACACAGGACUCGAAGCGCUGCGGGAAGAGGGCGCAGGCUCAGAGUCCUCCUCAGACACCCUCUCCCUCACCACCUCCCCCGGCCCGCGCUUCCCGCCACUAAGCCGGACCCAGGGAGACAGCCUGAGAAAAUUCCCUACGUUUCUCACCAGGCCUUUUCCUAAGGGGGGAAUCCCAUACGUCCUCAAUGGAUGGAGAUACAACCUUUAAACACUGCACAGCUCUAACUGCGCGCUUAAUUAACCUAUUCUCUGGGUCUUCUGUCAGAUGCAAGCCUCCUUACGGGAGUUUUCAACCACACAGCAGCAUCUCCCGUCUGGGGGUGUCACGUGAGGACAGCUUUUAAGGUCUGUCUUCAACAUGAGCUCUCCAACAGCGCUAACACAAGCGGCCUCCUGAAAGAGACCCGACUGCCCGAAAGCAGCUCAGACGCUGAGCACCAAUCCUGAGACACGGGAGACUCGUGACUCAGACAAAGCCACCAACAGGCUAGACCAGGAGCCGCCCAUGAGAAGCCUGCAGGCUCCACAGGACACGCGGCCUCGUGGGGGUCGCAUGGACGCACUCACGCGAGACCCAGGCGCCCAGCACGCUACCAAGAGUGCUCAAUACCGUCACCGAGAGUGGAGGACGUCUGAGACGGCGACAGGCCGUGUGAGGCCAACAAGAGGAUGCUCGGGGAAGACAAAGCUGCGGAGGCAGAGAGAGGCCAGGCGCGCCCGGGGGCGGGCGGGGGGGGGGCACGGAGGGGCGACACAGGGGGGCCCCGGGGGCGAGGAGGCACAACAACACAGCGGCGAGGGUGACUCUCGGGGACGCGGUGACAAGGAGGCGGCCAGGCAGGCUCACCAGCCGAAACAAACGCUCCAUCUGCUGGGGUGCUGACUGCGGGUGGGGAACACGGGAAAUCUGUUCCCUCCCCUCAAUCCUGCUGUGAACCUAAAAACACAUUUAACUUUUUGCACGCUUAACAGAAGGGGAAAAGUGAAGUGGUGAUGCAUUUCAUUUUCUUGCGCUCCAAAAUCACUGCAGACGGUGACUGCAGCCAUGAAAUUAAAAGACACUUGCUCCUUGUAAGGAAAGCUAUGACCAACCCAGACAACAUAUUAAAAAGCAGAGACAUAACUUUACCAAAGUCCGUAUAGUCAAAGUUAAAAAGCAGAGACAUAACUUUACCAACAAAAGUCCGUAUAGUCAAAGCUAUGGUUUUUCCAGUGGUCAUGUAUGCAUGUGAGAGUUGGACCAUAAUGAAGGCUGAGUGCUGAAGAACUGAUGUUUUUUAACUGCGGUACUGGAGAAGACUUUGAGACUCCCCUUGAACUGCAAGGAGAUCAAAUCCAUCAAUCCUAAAAGAAGUCAGCCCUGAAUAUUCAUCGGAAGAACUGAUGCUGAAGCUCCAAUACUUGGGUCACCUGAUGAGAAGAGCCGACUGAUUAGAAAAGAGCCUGACGCUGGGAAAUACUGAAGGUGGGAGAAGGGGGCGACAGAGGAUGAGAUGGUCGGAUGGCAUCACCGACUCGAUGACAUGGGUCUGAGUGAGCUCCAGGAGACAGUGAAGGGCAAGGAACCCUGGCAUGCUGCAGUCCAUGGGGUCGCGAAGAGCUGGACAUGACUUACUGAUCGAACCAUGACGACCCGUAGGCCGUGAGCUACCCAGCACAGCCCACGCGGCUGCGUGCCCACGUCUGCACCAACUCCGACUCCAGCAAGCAGGCAAGCAGCGGGCACAGCCCGGUGAGUCCCCACCUCCUGCCCCGAGGUCCCAACCUUAGCAGGCUCACCCCUUCGCCCACAUUUCAGGAGGCGACCUGGACAGAUCGGCCUCCUGCUAAAAAUGCUGACCAUGAGGUCAUCCACUGACUUAAGGAACGGGCCGUUCAACAAGACUAAAGACAAGGCCGCUGUCCUGGUGGGGCAGCGUGUCGCACACGCGGGAGCCCAGCCCACGGGUGAUGCGGCCCCAGGGGAGGCACUGAGGCCUCCAACCCCACUGCGGCUACAGAUGCCAGGGGGCAGUGGUGCCCGCCAGCAACGCUGUCCUCUAAACAAGGGAGGGCCUCCUUCCCUCACUGACCUCAGCCGCCUCCAUCGGCAGCGGAGCAAAGUUUAGUUCCAGGCUCCCCUCACUGUUCAAAACACAGGCAAAAAUGCUGCGAUCCUUAACUUCCACGCGACAGCCGUCCACCGUGGGGAACUUGCUCCCACACGGACACGUGCCUUUCUGCCCGCUCCCCCGGCCUGAGCCCUCCAGGGCUGCGACCCGAGUCUGUAACCCGGCUGGGGUGGCCACUCUAACCCUGCAGGCUCCCCUCUGCUCCCCCCACCACACACACACACACCACACACACACACCACACACACACACAUACACACACACACACACAUACACACACACACCACACACACAC
rnacentral:lncRNA from 1 species